rnacentral:lncRNA from 1 species
UUUCUUGUUUGUAGACAUUUAUACCAGUUGAGCAAGAAGUCGGUGCUAGAGCGGCAGCAGCCGGUUUGGAGCGCAGUCUCUUCCUCAUGGAACCCUGGCCGGAUCACUGGUCUUCACCACCACUGUAAACUUCUAAAUUCCCUCUUGUUAAACAAAUUAGAGUGGGUUCAAGGUUAUAUUUUGAUAUUAAUAGUUUUACCCUCAUCGCCCCGUGAUCAAAGAGAAAAGGGUAAGGGGACAACUAUCAGCUGGAACUGUAGUACACUUUCCUUCUCUUACAGACCUAGUGCUUCCAAUGCGCCCUGGCUGUCUCUCCACACUCUCAAGGUCUUCUUCACUCAUCUUCUUGGCUGUGUGGAUCUGAAAACACACAGCGUUUGUCCGUAAUCUCAUCCUCAUCCACACUGACUGUGGAUAACCGGAUGUGUUUUGUGAGGCCCCUCAGUCUCAACAUGGUUUUACAGACUCGGUCCUAAGCAGAUAAAACAACUAAGCUUCACAGAGGUGAGGUAACUUCCUCUGCCAUCCAGGUGGAUGGUCAGGGUCAGGAGCCUCGUGAGUGAGAACAACAGGUCUGUCGAGUUCUGCAGGGCUGAGCUGUUUAUCAUUGCGGAGGACACUCAUCACUGUGCUAAUUACAUUAAUUGCUGCCCACUCUGAGGCUAGCUCCUUCCUGCAAUGGCCCAAGACUGUAAUUACAGGUUGGAUUGGUUGGAAGUUGGUUGCUCUCUACCAUGUAGGGGAAAGGUCAAGACUAUGAACAUUGCUCUUCAUCAGACGCCUUACUGGAAGCAGAGAGGAAGGAUGAGGGUUCCUGUGGUAAUCUCAUGAUUCUCUAGAAGCAGGUGCUCUCCUACCCUCAUUCUGUUUGAGGGAGCCUGGUCAGCUGCUUGGAGUCCAAGAGCUAGCGGGAGAGGAGACAGUCUGAAAGCAGGAACCAUCAGAAGUCAUCCUUAGUGCCCAUAACAUAGUACCCCUCACCAGGACACUGCUCUGUCUGACACUGAAGUAUUGGCAGGGUCGGGCAAGGUGCCAACAAGUGGGUUUUGUCUAUCCCUAAAUGAUGACUGCUUGAGAUCUCACCUGCUCUGCCUUCCUUCCUGAGAUUCCAAGAGAAAUUGCUUGGAAGUGUAUUAAAUGCAAACUAAGUCAGAUGU